rnacentral:rRNA from 1 species
UACAGGGGGGGCAAGCGUUGUUCGGAAUUACUGGGCGUAAAGGGCUCGUAGGUGGCCAACUAAGUCAGACGUGAAAUCCCUCGGCUUAACCGGGGAACUGCGUCUGAUACUGGAAGGCUUGAGGAUGGGAGAGGGAUGUAGAAUUCCAGGUGUAGCGGUGAAAUGCGUAGAUAUCUGGAGGAACACCGAUGGCGAAGGCAGGUCUCUGGGCCACUACUGACGCUGAGAAGCGAAAGCAUGGGGAGCGAACAGG